GGGUAUGUGGCUUAGUGGUAGAGUGCUUGCCUAGCAUGCAUGAAGCCCUGGGUUCACAUACACAGAAAAGCCA
rnacentral:tRNA from 1 species